UUUGUGCUGUUUGUGGGCGACUCGCAUCUGCGUGCGUUGGUUGACCGUUACGUGAGGAUGCCAGACGGUUGCCUUUCGUUUGGGUUCCUGUCUCGCCUGGGGCGUCUGCCGCUGAGCUCCGCACUGAGUUGCUGAACGCAGACAUCCCCAGAACCCCCGACAUCGUUUGCUUGCUGGCUCCAAGCAACAACCUCACGGCGACGCCCGGCAUCGAAGCGGCUGGAGUUGCCUUCGAUGGACUUCUGAGAGCUGCCCGGAGUCGAUGGCCUAAGGUGUUUGUGCUCGAUUUCCCUCCCCGGCUGGCGAGUGAAUUGGCACCGCAACAAUUCCUUCGAGAGGAGUUUCGUCGCGUUGCAGCAAAGAACGGUGUAAAGUACUGCGUCACAGCUGACCGCUUUCCGCUGGAGUCACGUGCCUUGUGGAGUCGUGAUGGGAUCCUGGGAUGCGCCUGAGGACUGGGAUCAGUCUUCCGUGCGGAUCCUUCCUCAUGAGGUUUGUGUGCCUCCUCAGGUCCUGAGGGAGUGCUUUGUCGUGCUAAACCCUAUCCGGUUUAGCACUGACAAGUUGGCUGCAAUGGAUCGCAUUGUUCCAUCCAACCUUGACGUCCCCAUGUAUGCUACCAUGGGGAAUCGCUCAAAGAAACGGAAGGUGGCACAUGGAACCACGGCUGUGGUCUCCAAAGGAAAGAAGGCCCGCCUUGAGGCACUUCAAACUCCAGCAAGGAUUGCCAAACCUUCGAAGCUGGUACCUCCCCCUCGACCUGUUCCAGAAGCUGCUGUACCAGCUACUCUGGAGGGCGUACCUCCUCCUCGACCUGUUCCAGAAGCUGCUGUGCCAGCC
ensembl:lncRNA